rnacentral:lncRNA from 1 species
GGUCAGAACUGAGCAGCCCAACAGGAACCUGCCUGCCCUGACCCCCAGCAAACAGCUCUAAGAGGGAUUUGCCACGACCUUCCAGGAAAUCAGGUGCUAAUGACAGAGACCAACAUGGAAGGAAAGGAGUGAAUUCUCCCUCCAGGUGCCAUAGAUGACAUCUUUUUAGAUGGAUCUUUCGGUUUGCCUUUAUGAGAGGUUUAGUUGCCAAACUGGGAUUCAAACUUAAGAAGACUGGCAGACUGGAGCUCACCUCUCAACUACUAUACAGCACAACCUCCCUGGACAAUACCAUCUUUUCUACAAUAUGGUAAGGUUGAUAUAAGAGUAAGAAGACAUCAUAUUUAGGAAAGAACUCUAAACUAAAAAGGGUCAAACUUGGGUUAAUGAUAUUUUUUUUCUGGUAUGAAAUUUAAUCCACAAAAUUUUAGUGUGUAAGAAAAGUAACUUCAAAUAUUUCUAUGACAAAUUAAUAUCUGCUUUGAACUCCCAUUUCCCCUGACUUGAUAUGCAAGUUUUUGGGAACUUACAUAAUGC